UACGUAGGGGGCAAGCGUUGUCCGGAUUUAUUGGGCGUAAAGAGCUCGUAGGUGGUUCGGUAAGUCGGAUGUGAAAUCUCCAGGCUCAACCUGGAGGGGUCAUUCGAUACUGCCGUGACUAGAGGUCGGUAGGGGAGUGUGGAAUUCCUGGUGGAGCGGUGAAAUGCGCAGAUAUCAGGAGGAACACCCGUGGCGAAGGCGGCGCUCUGGGACGGUACUGACGCUGAGACGCGAAAGCAUGGGGAGCGAACAGG
rnacentral:rRNA from 1 species